GUUGAUAAUAGACUUGUUUGUCAAAUCAUUUUAGAUUCACUAUUAAAAUAUUUAGGACCACCUGCAGCUGAAUCAUCAGACAUCGUCAGGAACAGCCGUGCACCUCAGCUGCUCCGGUUUCCUCAGAGGAGACACUGCAAGAGCAUGCUGCUCUUCCUGCCAACCUCACCCUGCCUCCAACCACUGAGCCUGGAUGUUCAGGAUGCAGCAAACACCAGCAAUUGGCCUUCAGCUGAUCCUGCUGACUGUUCUCUUCAUGUAACAGACCUAAUGAGAACAGAGUUGGUUUGGAGAGGGCUGUAUCAUGUACCAGCUGAUUUCCUUUUUGCUUUUUGUGUAUUUAUAGUUGAACAGGUCUAUUGCACAUAUUGUUAUAUUGUUUGGAUUAUCAUUGUUUAAAUAAAUGAGCAAUUCUUUGGA